UCCUGCCCAAAAGCUUAGACUAACGUUCAGGUUGUUUGAUAUGGAGUUUUACGCGGUGGAUUCUUUGCUAACUGAGCCUUCAGCCUCCAUGUCUUUUUGUCCAAGGUCUGUGAACCCAGUGCCUGCACCUGUAGCACCUGUAACACCUGUAAGGCCUCCAGUGACUCCUGCAACACCUGUAACACCUGUAAGGCCUCCAGUGACUCCUACAACACCUCCCCCUGCUUUCAGGCUUCCUCGAAUGCCUCCACUGCCACCACUGCCUCCUCUGCCUCCUCUGCCUCC
rnacentral:lncRNA from 1 species